CUGAAAGGCCAGAAAGAAUCCUAAGCAGGGAUGAGGGCCCGGGGAGAUGGCGACGUGAAGAGGAUUGGAGGGAUCUUCUGGAGAGCCCGGAGCCAGGUCCAGCCUGAUUAGGAACAAAAGACGGUUCCACUCCUGGGCAGAAUCUCCCCUUGGUGGUUUGCUAAGGCUCCGGUGGUAGAAUGGAUUUUCUCACAGUUCCGGAAGCUCCAAGUCCAAGCUCAAGGUGUCGGCAGGUUCGGCUCCUGCUAUGAGUGCUGAGGGAAGGAUGUGUUCUGGGCUUCUCCCCCGGCUUCUGAUGGUCUGCCGGCAAUCCUUGGCGUUCCCCUGGCUCCACCAUCCCUGGUUAACUGCAUGUCUCCAACCAUUGGAAGGGACGAACGUUGUUGUCACAGCACCGGGUUCCUUAAAGUCAGUCUGUAUUGAAAGAGAUCUCUCUUCAGCUUUACUCAA